rnacentral:rRNA from 1 species
GAUGAACGCUGGCGGCGUGCCUAAUACAUGCAAGUCGAGCGAACGGACGAGAAGCUUGCUUCUCUGAUGUUAGCGGCGGACGGGUGAGUAACACGUGGAUAACCUACCUAUAAGACUGGGAUAACUUCGGGAAACCGGAGCUAAUACCGGAUGAUAUUUUGAACCGCAUGGUUCAAAAGUGAAAGACGGUCUUGCUGUCACUUAUAGAUGGAUCCGCGCUGCAUUAGCUAGUUGGUAAGGUAACGGCUUACCAAGGCAACGAUGCAUAGCCGACCUGAGAGGGUGAUCGGCCACACGGGAACUGAGACACGGUCCAGACUCCUACGGGAGGCAGCAGUAGGGAAUCUUCCGCAGUGGGCGAAAGCCUGACGGAGCAACGCCGAGUGAGUGAUGAAGGUCUUCGGAUCGUAAAAAUCUGUUAUUAGGGAAGAACAUAUGUGUAAGUAACUGUGCACAUCUUGACGGUACCUAAUCAGAAAGCCACGGCUAACUACGUG